GCACCUUUAACGUUCCCGAGCAGCCAUCAUAAAGGGGGUUCUGCAUGCAUUUAGCCCGCACGAUGCCCGUGAAGAAAGGUGUGUCUAUGAAGAUGACUGCCUCCAGCAAGCAGUGUACAGUCCGAGGAGCUCCUCCAAAGUUACAGAAUACAAUUGGUUUUACGAAGAUGAUAGUACUUGAGGAAGAAAUUGAGUUCGAAGUGAUAGACAAAAGUGGGACCACAAUCGCUCUAAAGGCUCCAGAGCGCCG